rnacentral:rRNA from 1 species
AUUGAACGCUGGCGGCAGGCCUAACACAUGCAAGUCGAGCGAGCGGCGGACGGGUGAGUAAUGUCUGGGAAACUGCCUGAUGGAGGGGGAUAACUACUGGAAACGGUAGCUAAUACCGCAUACCAUCAGAUGUGCCCAGAUGGGAUUAGCUAUUAGGUGGGGUAACGGCUCACCUAGGCGACGAUCCCUAGCUGUGCUGAGAGGAUGACCAGCCACACUGGACCGGAGACACGGUCCAGACUCCUACGGGAGGCAGCAGUGGGGAAUAUUGCACAAUGGGCGCAAGCCUGAUGCAGCCAUGCCGCGUGUGUGAAGAAGGCCUUCGGGUUGUAAAGCACUUUCAGCGGGGAGGCGGGAACCGAAGAAGAAGCACCGGCUAACUCCGUGCCAGCAGCCGCGGUAAUUC